rnacentral:rRNA from 1 species
CGGAGGGUGCAAGCGUUAUCCGGAUUCACUGGGUUUAAAGGUGCGUAGGCGGGCAGGUAAGUCCGUGGUGAAAAUCUCUGAGCUUAACUCAGAAACUGCCAUGGAUACUAUUUGUCUUGAAUAUUGUGGAGGUAAGCGGAAUAUGUCAUGUAGCGGUGAAAUGCUUAGAUAUGACAUAGAACACCAAUUGCGAAGGCAGCUUACUACACAGUUAUUGACGCUGAGGCACGAAAGCGUGGGGAUCAAACAGGAUUAGAUACCCUGGUAGUCCACGCCCUAAACGAUGAUUACUCGACAUCAGCGAUACACUGUUGGUGUCUGAGCGAAAGCAUUAAGUAAUCCACCUGGGAAGUACGAUCGCAAGAUUG